rnacentral:rRNA from 1 species
CAAAGGGGGCAACCUGAAUCCAAGCCUGCCGCGUGUGUGAAGAAGGCCUUCGGAUUGUAAAGCACUUUCAGCGAGGAGGAAGGUGUUUAGCCUAAUACCUUAGUGUUUUGACGUUACCCACAGAAUAAGCACCGGCUAACUCUGUGCCAGCAGCCGCGGUAAUACAGAGGGUGCAAGCGUUAAUCGGAAUUACUGGGCGUAAAGCGCACGUAGGUGGUUUGUUAAGUUGGAUGUGAGGGCCCCGGGCUCAACCUGGGA